rnacentral:rRNA from 1 species
UACGUAGGGUGCGAGCGUUACUCGGAAUUACUGGGCGUAAAGCGUGCGUAGGCGGUUCUCCAAGUCCGUUGUGAAAGCCCCGGGCUCAACCUGCGAAUGGCAGUGGAAACUAGGGGACUGGAAUCUGGCAGAGGGGGGUGGAAUGCCGCGUGUAGCAGUGAAAUGCGUAGAGAUGCGGCGGAACACCGAUGGCGAAGGCAGCCCCCUGGGCUGAGAUUGACGCUCAGGCACGAAAGCCAGGGGAGCAAACGGG